GUGUCAGCCGCCGCGGUAAUACGUAGGGCGCAAGCGUUGUCCGGAAUUAUUGGGCGUAAAGAGCUCGUAGGUGGCGUGUCGCGUCUGCCGUGAAAGCCCAUGGCUUAACUGUGGGUCUGCGGUGGAUACGGGCAGGCUGGAGGCUGGUAGGGGCAAGCGGAAUUCCUGGUGUAGCGGUGAAAUGCGCAGAUAUCAGGAGGAACACCGGUGGCGAAGGCGGCUUGCUGGGCCAGUUCUGACGCUGAGGAGCGAAAGCGUGGGGAGCGAACAGGAUUAGAAACCCUCGUAGUCC
rnacentral:rRNA from 1 species